AGUGAACGCUGGCGGUAGGCCUAACACAUGCAAGUCGAACGGCAGCACAGUAAGAGCUUGCUCUUACGGGUGGCGAGUGGCGGACGGGUGAGGAAUACAUCGGAAUCUACUUUUUCGUGGGGGAUAACGUAGGGAAACUUACGCUAAUACCGCAUACGACCUACGGGUGAAAGCAGGGGAUCUUCGGACCUUGCGCGAUUGAAUGAGCCGAUGUGGGAUUAGUUAGUUGGCGGGGUAAAGGCCCACCAAGGCGACGAUCCGUAGCUGGUCUGAGAGGAUGAUCAGCCACACUGGAACGGAGACACGGUCCAGACUCCUACGGGAGGCAGCAGUGGGGAAUAUUGGACAAUGGGCGCAAGCCUGAUCCAGCCAUACCGAGUGGGUGAAGAAGGCCUUCGGGUUGUAAAGCCCUUUUGUUGGGAAAGAAAAGCAGCAGGUUAAUACCCCGCUGUUCUGACGGUACCCAAAGAAUAAGCACCGGCUAACUUCGUG
rnacentral:rRNA from 1 species